AUUGAACGCUGGCGGCAGGCCUAACACAUGCAAGUCGAGCGGAUGAAAGGAGCUUGCUCCUGGAUUCAGCGGCGGACGGGUGAGUAAUGCCUAGGAAGCUGCCUGGUAGUGGGGGACAACGUUUCGAAAGGAACGCUAAUACCGCAUACGUCCUACGGGAGAAAGCAGGGGACCUUCGGGCCUUGCGCUAUCAGAUGAGCCUAGGUCGGAUUAGCUAGUUGGUGAGGUAAUGGCUCACCAAGGCGACGAUCCGUAACUGGUCUGAGAGGAUGAUACGUCACACUGGAACUGAGACACGGUCCAGACUCCUACGGGAGGCAGCAGUGGGGAAUAUUGGACAAUGGGCGAAAGCCUGAUCCAGCCAUGCCGCGUGUGUGAAGAAGGUCUUCGGAUUGUAAAGCACUUUAAGUUGGGAGGAAGGGUUGUAGAUUAAUACUCUGCAAUUUUGACGUUACCGACAGAAUAAGCACCGGCUAACUCUGUGCCAGCCGCCGCUGUAACAC
rnacentral:rRNA from 1 species